rnacentral:rRNA from 1 species
UGGCGGAAUAUUGCACAAUGGGCGGAAGCCUGAUGCAGCAACGCCGCGUGAGGGAUGACGGCCUUCGGGUUGUAAACCUCUUUUAGCAGGGAAGAAGCGAAAGUGACGGUACCUGCAGAAAAAGCACCGGCUAACUACGUGCCAGCAGCCGCGGUAAUUA